rnacentral:rRNA from 1 species
GAUGAACGCUGGCGGCGUGCCUAAUACAUGCAAGUCGAGCGAACAGAUGCGGAGCUUGCUCCUCUGACGUUAGCGGCGGACGGGUGUGUAACACGUGGAUACCCUACCUAUAAGACUGGGAUAACUUCGGGACACCGGCGCUAAUACCGGAUAAUCUAUUGCACCGCAUGGUUCAAUAGUGAAAGACGGUUUUGCUGUCACUUAUAGAUCGAUCCGCGCCGCAUUAGCUAGUUGGUACGGUAACGGCUUACCAAGGCAACGAUGCGUAGCCGACCUGCGAGAGGGAUCGGCCACACUAGAACUGAGACACGGUCCAGACUCCUACGGGAGGCAGCAGUAGGGAAUCUGCCGCAAUGGUCGAAAGCCUGACGGAGCAACGCCGCGUGAGUGAUGAAGGUCUUCGGAUCGUAAAACUCGGUUAUGAGGGAAGAACAAAUGUGUAAGUAACUAUGCACGUCUUGACGGUACCUAAUCAGAAAGCCACGGCUAACUACGUG